UCAAUUUUAAUANUUUUUAUGGUUUCAUUUAACUAUUAAAGCAGACCUCUCGACCAAUCACUUUGCGUGCACUAUCUUUAUCAUUCUAUGAUUCACAUAUUCCACUUAAGAUGUGGCCUUAAUAAUUGAAGGUUCUAAUGUGUUUUUGCUUGUUUUCCCACUUUUUAAAAAAGCGUCAUCAAGUCUAACUGUCUCAAAAGUUGAAAAAAAAAUCCAAGACGACAACUCCAGACCAUAAAAUUUCUCACCAGGAGAGUGCGCAUGCGUGGUUUCCAUAGUGAUCAAGCACGUGCAUUCAUUCGAGUCANAUAAGAAAACCUGAAUAAACCAGCUAUCAUCCAUUCAUAUUCAGGGGUCUAGAAGAAGAAUACCUGACUUGGAUCUUAACUUUGAGUAUUCAAGCAAAUUUACUGACAUCGUAAGGCUGUGCNGCCUGUGACGCAGGUGGCAUAGCUUUAGACAUCUCACAAUCGCAAGAUAGCAUCAAAGAUAAAUGAAAGCAGCGAAAAAUCAGAGUUCCGCAUCUAUGUGGUCAACAACUUGGCUAUACCUGCUUGAGGCAGUGAUUAUAGUUGUAGUAAACGUUACUACAAUCGCUAUUUUCAUAACUACUCGACGACUUAGAUGUCGAAAGUACGUUCUAAUCGUAAACAUGGCGUUUGCAGAUUUGUUCGUUGGUUGUAUAACACUCCCCUGUUACGUCUAUUGGAGGGUCAGGCUACUGCAAACCCAAGAUGAAACUUCAGACAGUUUUCUAUUUUUUUUCCAUUUUGCUGACAUCUUCUUUGGAACUGCAUCUGUCUUUAGUUUAACAUCUAUGGCUAUUGAGCGGGCGCAUGCGACAUUUUUUCCAUUCAAACACGAGGCGUUGCGGUUUUCUUCAUAUAGAAUAGGAGUUACUUUGGUGUGGCUGGCGGCGCUAACCAAUACACUCCUGUCUCUAACAGCCUUAAAAAAACUACCAAGACUUUAUAGCAUAGCUUUUCAACUCUCCUUAUCUCUUGGAAUUGUCUCUAUUGCAUAUUUGCUUAUUUGGAUAAAAGUCACUCGCAACAGAAACGCUGCAAUUGGAAGUAAUAAAAAGUUAACAGUUACUCUUGGUAUCGUUACUAUUACAAGCUUCGUAGCAUUGAUGCCUUUAUUGGUGACUAGUUUGUACGGUGUUUUUUGUCCCACCUGUUUAGAUAAAGUACAAUGGUCACUCUCAUCUAUAGCUACAUUUUUCUAUUGUGGAAACUCGGGUGUUAACUUUUUUGUAUAUGCCUUUCGGUUACGUGAUUUCCGAGCUGAACUAUAUCGUAGAUUUAGCUGCUGCAAGAGCUGCUCACGCCGACAGGAUGGAAGAUUCGAGCUUCAACAAAACCUCAAUUCAACAUAGCUGUUUAGACUGUUAAGUGAAUAUGGAAGUGUGUAUUCCUUCGAGUAUAAUAUGUAAAGUUUGCUGUACUUGUAUUACGCCUGUAUUGAAUGCUGCUCUCAUCUAUUCAAUCCUUCAUUUCCUAUGGGCACUUCCCGAGUCUUUCCUGAUAUUCAAUGUAAAAAAAAAAAUCAAAGUGAUUCAUAUUAUUAUUACUUCACUUUCUAUUGUUUUUAUUUUCCUGGUAUAGUGAAACUUGACUUAUCUCAUCUUUCUAUGAGACCGUCGUCAGAUGAUAAGAAUCUUUGAAAAACAUUUUUAAAGUGGAAGCUCGUAACAAAAGAUUAUAAAAAACACUUGGGGAAACCUAGUUAUUGUAGCAUCAGAGAGUUAUCUAUUUGUGAAAGCAAGAUCAAUUUACUUAUACUGCUAGAGGCGAAAUGUGAAUAAAAUCUAAUAUUUUUUUAUCAUCAUGCCUUUCCAUUAAUGUCUUAACAUCCUUAAGAAUUCUUGGCUAAUGCUUCAUUAUUAAUUCAAAUCCAAGUGUAGUAGGAAGUAUUUCAAGUUUUUUUUAAAGAAAUGUAUUAAAAUUGGU
rnacentral:lncRNA from 1 species